CCGUUUUCGAUGUACUAUAUUACCAUAUACAAUAUCCAAUAAAAUAUCGGAACUCACGUGAAAUCAAGAACGUACUAAUUAAACAAACUAUUUCACUUUUCCCCUGUGCAUGUGCGCAUGCCAUUUUCAUCAGCGAAGCAGCGAAAAACAUUUGUUCUGAUCCCUUUUGCCAUGCCAUACUUGUUGGGUAACUUUUAAUACCCGUCGCACAGUGGCGCCAUUGACUUUUAUUUGGAACCGAACCAGACCGCACAAAUCAAGUGGCCCAGCGCAACACAUAAUGGUCAUUUGGCGUUCAAUGCGGCGUCGCCAGCUCCACCAACAACAUUUUCAAUAGGAAUUGGAAAGAGUUAAAGGGAGUUAGAGUGCUGAAUUAAUGCUUACGGAGAGGUGCGUCGAAAGGCAGCUCAAUGAAUUUGCAAUCCGGUUACGGCCAAGUGAAGUGUUAACGAUUCAAUAUUGCUGCCAAUUGGGUCAUACAGAAAUAAGAAUACAACAUUAGUGCAACGUUUAAAUUAUUCUCUAUCAAAAUAUCAAAACUCCCUUCCUUAGCCCCUCCCAUUUCCGUUUGCACUUUGGACACAAUCCACUAAAGGAGCGAAAAGAGAGCGGCUGCGAAAGAGUCGGAAGUGGCUUUCUUCGAUGCCUUCCUGUCGGAAGCUCAGGGGAAUUUUCUGAAGCGGGGCCAUCGAUGGUGAAGGGGGCUGGAAGGGUGUCUUCAGGGAGCUGAGGGUGGCUUGAGAAAGCUUCAGUUUCCUCCAUCAGCAGAUCACAUAAUGGCAACAAUAAGGAAAUCGCAUGUGCAAAGGCCGCAGGCAUCUAAAUUGAGGAAAGGGGCCUAAAAAGUGGAGAAACGGGUGUGGGAGUGAGAAGAAUGGGAAAAAUGGGGUAGACGAAUUCCCGGCUUGCCGGCUGUUGCGUUGUCGUCAAAUGUUUAUGAACAGUAAGUCGCGUUACACAGCUUUGCGAUGGGCAGGCAACCGGAAGAGGUAAACGACGGGGAAAGUGAGGAAGUCGCGGGAAAAUGGCAAAGGAUGUUUGGCUGGAGGGACUGCCGCUCUUCGCCGAGCAAUUUUGAAGGCGUUGAAUUCAGGCGUCAAAGUCAAACUCAGAUUCCACAAACUACUUCAUAUUUUUCUUGUAUACAUUUUUGAUACCAUACUUGUGGAUAAUGCGAUUUAGCUUAUGCCUGGAAGUCCGGAAAGUAUAUGCAUUGUAUUCGAACGUGAAGUCUU